UUUGACUUGUUGAAUCGUACAGUGGGCAGUCGGACUCAAUGACCAAUCUGAUAGGUGGAGUGCCCGCCCUUGACUAGCGAAUCAGUGGACUUAUGUUAAAACACUUACUGGAAAUGACAAGCAGGAUGAGCCUGACAAACGCCUCUCAAAAUCUGACGAAAAUCUUUUAAACUGACUUUUAUCGAUCAAAAAGUAAGACAGAUUAAGCAA